rnacentral:rRNA from 1 species
UUCGCGUUUCGAUCGUCGAAGUUGAACGUUUGUAUGACGGAGCGAUGCGUUUCGGCGCAUGAGUCCGCAUCUUAUGUUCUUCGAAUCGAUGUCGAACGCGUGCACUUUUCCUCUAGUAGGACGUCGUGAUCCGUUGGGUGUCUGUCUAAGACUCGGGGUGGAGCCCACGUGAUUUUUUUGAUUAUGUGGACCCUCGAUGUUCCGACAGACUCGCUCGACGGUAUAAAUAUGGCGCGGGGCCGCUACAUUAGUUAGCGUUCGGCCCGUAGCAAGCACGUUUCGUGUUUGACGGCGAUCGGACCUAGUGCCGAUUCUGUCCCGGAACGACUGUUGGUUACGGUGUUCUCGAACAGACCUCG